GCCAUACAACUUACUUCAGGCAUGAGCAAGGCAAACAAGUGGUUGGACUGCACUGGGCAUACAUCUGAUCAGAGGUCUAAUUUGGGCAUAUAGCUGGUAUGACGUGGGUACAAGGGUCAUGCCUUUAAUCCACUGGUUUUCAAGCCGGUCCUUAGGCCUCCCUAACAGGCCAGGUUUUCAGGAUUACUUUGGGUGAGAGCAGGGAAUACAACCAUGGAUCCAAGACUAAAAAAACAGUUGUCAUUGAAUUUCUGACGAAAGAGGUUUACGCACCUAAGGAAAUCCAUAAUCGUCUGAAGAGAUGUUAUGGGGACGCUGUAGUAGACAUUAGAAAUGUUAGGCAUUGGGUGAAGAAGUUUCAAGAAGGAGAAACCAAAAUUGCAGAUAAACUGAGUAGUGGCCAUCCGUCAACAUCAGCCAGACUUAUUACAUUACAGACUCAUGGCGGUUUAUGAUAUAGUGGCGUCUGAGGGAUUGGAGAUCACGAGCAUUCAGAAGUGGUUUUUCGGCCUUGCCCUUUAUCACUGAGAUUUGACGAGAUUCCUUGAAUCUUUUAAUUAUAUUGUGCACUGUGAAAUAACAAAUAUCCUAACAAUUUGUCUUUUGGGAAUGUUGUUCUCAAAGUGUUGGUUUAUUCACUGAUGCAUCUAUUGGCAGAUCGGCGAGCCUCAACAUCUUUGCUCUUAAAGUACUAGGCCUUUUUUGGAAGCUCCUUAUAUACUAUAAUUACACAAUUGCCUUACCUGUGUCACAUCACCUUCUUAUUUCAACUUGUCACAUCGAUAUUAGUCCUAAAUUGCCCCUGUCUUUUUUGGAGUGUGUUGCAAUUAUCAGAUUUGAAAUUAGUGCAUAUUUUCAAAAGUACAUUAAAUUCACAAAGUAAAACAUCAAA